rnacentral:lncRNA from 1 species
CCGCGUCGGUCGGGUUGAGGUUCUUGGUGGCGAGGGAGCUCAGGAUGGUUCCCGUAGUGGCAAACGGGGGCGGGAGGUUGGCCAAGGUGGUGUCUUGUGUUACUAACGUUGUACCGUCGCGGCGGCCUAACGCCACUUGGUACUUUGGCCCACCAGACUAUGGAAUAAAAAAAAUACACACAUUAGUUACAUUAAAUUAAACCGGAAAGGAAAUCGAUAAAUUCUAUCUAACCAAAUUCGUUCGACUCGAUUUUACCAGGACGACGGAGUCACGGGCAGCUAUAGCGACAAUGUCGGAGCAAGAGACGACGCGGCCGCACUCCUUGUGGACACGUGCACGGAG